GACGAACGCUGGCGGCGUGCUUAACACAUGCAAGUCGAGCGGUAAGGCCCUUUCGGGGGUACACGAGCGGCGAACGGGUGAGUAACACGUGGGUGACCUGCCCUUAGCUCUGGGAUAAGCCUGGGAAACUGGGUCUAAUACCGGAUAUGACUCCAUAACGCAUGUUGUGGGGUGGAAAGCCUUGUGCGGCUAGGGAUGGGCCCGCGGCCUAUCAGCUUGUUGGUGGGGUGAUGGCCACCAAGGCGACGACGGGUAGCCGGCCUGAGAGGGCGACCGGCCACACUGGGACUGAGACACGGCCCAGACUCCUACGGGAGGCAGCAGGUGGGGAAUCUUGCGCAAUGGGCGAAAGCCUGACGCA
rnacentral:rRNA from 1 species